CGAUAGAAUAACAGUAUCAACGGGAGGGGACGUAUCAAGGAGAUCUGCAAGGGAACGCGGAGCACCCAGGAGAGCCGCUGGAGAUAUCUUCAUACUUGACAUUUUCGACCAGUUUCCAGAGCAUGAUGGCGGGCUGUUCUCUAGGAGGUGAGUGCAUUCAUGUGAAGAGCAGAUGUCUGGAUUCUCAGUACUUCUCUGUCUGUAAUGAUCCAUCUAUAAUUGGAAAUGGGGGACAGACACCAAACCCGACGUUCCUCUCCCAUCGCAACUUAUAUCUGUUGUCUGAAACAAUAGGCUGGAGAAGUAAACCUCAGCCGGAUAGGAAAAUCAUUCCCAUCCACACAGUUUAUAUAGAACACAUAGACAUAUUGAACACACAUAUAUUAUGCAUAUAAUUACACACCCCUGAUGCACACACAACUCUAUAUUGGCACACACAGUCGCACGCACCCAUGAUAAAUAUAAAUAUAUCAAUAUACAGCCACACAUCCGUAUAUGCAUAUAAGAAAGUGAGUCAAUGUUAAUGUGGACUUUUUGAUCAGGACGAGCAUGCAUUGCAAAAUAGAUAGCUAUAGGUAUUGAUUUGUUUACAUGUCUGCUAUUAUUAAAAUAGAUACACUAGUAGAAAUAUAUGCUGCUAUAUGCAGAUAUACACAGAUUUGUGCAUGAAUAGGUUCCUUAAGACGAGGCUCAAUAAAAGGGGGGGAAAUACACCAACCAACCUACCCUUUAGGAGUAUUAAUUAUUUGUAAUGAGAGAUGAGGGAAGAUGCUUUCCCACCCCGAAGAGGGACGUGUAGAGAUUUACAGAUCCUCUACCGAUUCAUUGAUAAACGCAGAUAUAGGGAGACCAGGACGUUAGAGAAUAUUAAACCUGACCAUGUACAUUUGGAACAUACGAGUUUAAUUUCGCAAUUUUAGACGAGCCCCCCCCCCCCGCACUCGGAUCUAAAACCGAAGCAAUCCAAAGAUUUAGGAACAUCUCGAUUUGGAUGUAUUUAACAGACAACAAACACUCUAAAAUACCCUGGUUGUGAAUAGUUUUGGUUCUUUUUUUGCGCCGGUCUGUCCGUUUGAGCUAAGACUUCGCUCUUCCCUGCUCAAUAUUAUUUUGCAAUAUUAUUUUUCAAAGCAAGUUUGAUCAAACAGGCAAGACCGAUUUUUCUGCCCCUUGGAAAGAUUUUAUAAAAGCCUCUGAUGUGGAGGCCUUUGCCUUAGAAUCUCAGUCUCUCUUUAAAAGCGCACCCCCCGCCCCUCCAACGCAUGUUUGCCUACAUCUCCAUGUGACCUUGUAGGAGAAUAUGUAUAUAUAUCCCUAGAGUUUCUUUGCAAUAUCGAGAAAUAAAUCGAUCGUUUGGACCUGAGGCAGGGCGGGAGGUGAGAGCUGCCCCUGGGCUUCCUUGGCCACCAAAUAAAGGGGAACAACCAACUUUUCCUCUUCCUCAUUCCUCGCUAACCCCCGUUUCCAGCAGGAGCUGGAGAGACGGGGGUCUUCCUCCAGGGAAGGCGCAGAAAGCAGGCUGGUCUUAGGAGAGGAGGCAGGCAAGUUGGCGUUUGCUUGGAAGUUAGAAUGGCUGCUGGGGAAGUUCUGUGAUAUACCAGUGGGACAGAGUGGAUUAUUGCUGGCUGUUGUCUCUGCGACGGAGAGUUCAAGACCCAACAUCUCUAUCCAGCCUGCUACUUUGGUGGCAGAAGCAGAGCACAAAGAUGACUGAUGGUUAAGGAUAACUAAAAUCUAAAGCAACAAAAAACUAUUGGAAUAUGAUGUUAACUGUAAGGAAUGUAAUGUCAAUUAGAAACAACUAGGAAAAUAAAGCAUCAUCAAGAGGAAAGUUUGGACACAUCAAGAAUGGAGUGCAGGAAACCAGUUUUUGGAGAUAUUGUAUUAAAUUUGUCUUAAUUUGUGGCUGAUUUGGUAAAAUUGGGAAAACUAAUAAAAAUGAUUUGGCC